rnacentral:sRNA from 2 species
CUGCGCCAUUCUCACCGGAGUCGCGUUUUCCCUUCUGAGGUAAACCACAAAAAGAUGGAAUAACUUUCUCACGAAGCCUUGGGCCAUUAAAGUCACCUGCCAUAUACGAGGAGAGCCUUGCUUUGAUCAGAUCAAGAAGACAUGGCCUCUCAAAAGUCACAGGGGAACUCUAGCCCCUCCGCGUCCUCAAUAUUUCUACCACUUGGCCGACCUUCAAGACGGGGUUCUUUUGGGUCUAUGAGCUCGCAAGCAGAGCGGGAACAUCGAAAUGAAGCGUUGAACC